CAGUAGUGUUGUUUCUCAAAGUCGACGUUUGGACACCCAGGCCAAGGACAAUUAUCAAUCUAACCUUAAAUCUCAGAAGUUGAGUCAGGAAAAAGUUGAAUCAGAUUGCUUAAAAAGACGAGUGUUGGAUCAAGUAAACCCAGGCCAAGGACUAUUAUCAAUCUAACGUCAAAUCUCAGAAGUUGAAUCAGAAAAAAAGUUGAAUCAGAUUGCUUAAAGAGACGAGUGUUGGAUCAAGUAAUAACAUGGAACUGCUCUUGUUUGUGUGAAUGCAUUUUUGUGCAGCUAUUACCCUCUAGCUGUUUUAAACUUCUUUUGAUGCAGUUUCUAGAGUUGGGGGGACUGUCUAUAAUUGGUUGAAGAUUGACAAUAGGUGAUGCGUCAUCAAAUGUAUGUGGGAUGAGAUGGAUAUAUUAGCUUCAUCAGAUGUAUGUGGGAUGAGAUGGAUAUAUUAGAUUUGUUCGAUCCAGGUGGUCGAAAUGUAGAUGCAACUUUUUGAAUAUUUAGAUCUCAUGAUCAGUAGUACUUUAGACAAUAUUUUUCCCACUUCGAAAGGCAUAAUAGACAAAUGUUUGCUAACUGUUUUCU
rnacentral:lncRNA from 1 species